CUGUAAGCUGAAAUCCACCCUUUCCUUCUCAAGUCGCUUUUGCUCAUGGUGUUUUAUCACAGCAGUAGAAACCCUAAUGAAGACACUAUGGAAACAGGUCUGUAGUGAGUGUCUCUCCAUGGUCUUUGUUUCUGUUCCUGCACAAAGCUUCCCGCUCUGGCUUCCUUCAGCACAGUUAGCUCUUCUUUUCAAGCUCUUUUUGGUAAACAUUCUGCAAGUGAGAAGGAAAUGUGUGAAAC
rnacentral:lncRNA from 1 species